CAUAAAUACCGUUUUCCCCUAACACUAUCGGUGGUCUCCUUUUCCGGCACCAAAGCCCGUCAUUCUUCCAUCUACGUUUUUAAUAUCGGAUUUAGGGACAUCUACUGAUGACAUUUCAAAUGCAUUCGAUUAAACCCUUUUUGCACAUGAUUGCCAUCGAUUAUAAAUUAGAAGGACCAACUUUUGAAAUUGAAUGUGAUAUCGGUUUGACCGGAGUGAUGAAAUCUAGAAGUAUGCGUUGAAAGAAGAUAUGCACCGAACCAAUCGACGUACGUCAUAUGACGAUGGAAUUGUCAAAUUGAAAAUGGUAGCCGGAAGACGUCAAAAGCAAAAAAUUGCAAGUCUUUGACAGUGAAGACAUUAUCAGAGUUGCAGAAAAAUUCAUGAAUGAUAGGUUCGAGGACUCCAAUGAAGAAGAGAACAAUAGGGAAUCGAUAUUUGUAUGUUGAAGGAUUAUGAUUAGCUGAUUUUUAGGGAUUGCAUAUCUCUACAAAAGUUUGAAAUUUAUGUUUACAUAUAUGAAACUUAAUUUAAAUGCAGUUUAAUUGGAUAUUGAAACUGAUUUCCUUAAUCUUAGGAGCUGAUUAAUUGACAAUCACAACAAUGCAUGGGCGGGAAAAUCAUUCUAAGAAUAUAUGUGGUAAUGACACGUG